rnacentral:rRNA from 1 species
CAGCCGCCGCGGUAAUACGAAGGGGGCUAGCGUUGUUCGGAUUUACUGGGCGUAAAGCGCACGUAGGCGGACUUUUAAGUCAGGGGUGAAAUCCCGGGGCUCAACCCCGGAACUGCCUUUGAUACUGGAAGUCUUGAGUAUGGUAGAGGUGAGUGGAAUUCCGAGUGUAGAGGUGAAAUUCGUAGAUAUUCGGAGGAACACCAGUGGCGAAGGCGGCUCACUGGACCAUUACUGACGCCGAGGUGCGAAAGCGUGGGGAGCAAACAGGAUUAGAUACCCCCGUAGUCCCUGUCUCUUAUAA